ACUGGGCACAGUAGCCUAUGCUUGUAGUCCCAGCUUCUAGGGAGGCUGAGGCAGGAGGAUCACUGGGGUCCAGGAGUUCUGGGCUGUAGUAUGCUAUGCCCAUCCAGUAUCCUUACUACAUUCAAUAUCAAUAUGUAACUUCCUAGGAGGUAAGGAGACCACCAGGUUACCUCGGGACAGGUGAACCGGCCCAGGUCAGAAAUGGAACAGGUCAAACUCCUGGGCUGAUCAGUAGUGGGAUGGUGUCUGUGAGUGGCUACUAUACUCUAACCUGGAACAUAGUGAGACCCACAUCUCUU
rfam:Otolemur garnettii contig085527, whole genome shotgun sequence.